CUCUCAUAUACAUACAUACAUAUAAGGUAGUAUCAAAAGGUUCUUGGACUUAUGUUUAAUAAAAAAUAGCUUAUUUACCUAAGUUUUAACAUCAUCUCCUUUGAAAUAGUUACCUUGGGCAGUAAUACACUGAUUCCAGCAUUCCUGCCACUUUUGGAAUCCAGCCUGGAAGUCUUUUUCCAUAAGUGAGUCGAGGCCCUUUUGCAAUUUGCUCAGCAACAGUGUUAACAUGGUGAUCUUUGAACUGCAUUUUCAUCUCGGGGAAGAGAUGGGAGUCCACAGGUGCUAAA